UGUUUAUGUCGUGGCUAAUUUGACAUGUCCAAUUCGGAUGUGGCAUAAUCAGUGGUUGGCCAAAAUGGCUGUGGCUGCCACACACAUUCCGGAAUGGGCGGAAGACGGCGCCUCAUGCAAGUUUCAUGUGGCCACAACAGAACCUCUCAAGCCAUUGCCUGCACAUUGAUCGGGUCACUCCACUUACACAUCAGGUUUUUUUUUCGAACUGUCAACUUCAAAACUUAUACGCAAUUUUAAGUUAGAGUAUCUGUUCUUCGUCAUCUCUUAACUGUUAAGCUAUUUUACUCUUCCCCCAUUCACUCACCAUUUCUCUCAUCCCGUUGACUUUUGCGGCUGUCAACAUGGCCGACUGUCAAAAUAAUUAACGAAUUCGAGUUACAAGCGGUGAAGAAGGGGAUGCAUCUCCGCAAAUAAGUACAUGUGUGGUAUAUAUGUAUGUAUGUGGCUAUAGCUCAUGAAGGCGGAGGAAUCAUCGGAAGAGACAACUCGUAUUAGCGAGGUAAUUGAACUGCGAGUUACACAAGUAACGGUGAUGCUGUUAGAUUGGAAGGGGGAAGGGGGGAGAGCCAAAUUGAGAGCAGGUAAUGAGCUGUCACAAUUGAGGAUAGUGACAAAAACGGUGUGAAGCAAGGAGAAUAACAGAUGCACAAAUACCAGAGUGCGAAACAACGGAAGAUCAGCAAGUGAAGUAAAG
ensembl:ncRNA lncRNA:CR45791 long non-coding RNA:CR45791